rnacentral:rRNA from 1 species
GAUGAACGCUGGCGGCGUGCUUAACACAUGCAAGUCGAACGAGGCACCCCGGAAUGCGGCUUCGGCCAAAUGACGGGACUGCCUAGUGGCGGACGGGUGAGUAACGCGUGAGCAACCUGCCCUUCGGAGGGGGACAACAGUUGGAAACGACUGCUAAUACCGCAUAAUGUGCACGGGACGCAUGUUCUGUGUACCAAAGAUUUAUCGCCGAAGGAUGGGCUCGCGUCUGAUUAGCUAGUUGGUAGGGUAGAGGCCUACCAAGGCGACGAUCAGUAGCCGGACUGAGAGGUUGACCGGCCACAUUGGGACUGAGAUACGGCCCAGACUCCUACGGGAGGCAGCAGUGGGGAAUAUUGGGCAAUGGGCGCAAGCCUGACCCAGCAACGCCGCGUGAAGGAAGAAGGCCCUCGGGUUGUAAACUUCUUUGAUCAGGGAAGAAAACAAUGACGGUACCUGAAAAACAAGCCACGGCUAACUACGUGCCAGCAGCCGCGGUAAUACGUAGGUGGCAAGCGUUAUCCGGAUUUACUGGGUGUAAAGGGCGUGUAGGCGGGACGGCAAGUCAGGUGUGAAAACUAUGGGCUCAACCCAUAGCUUGCAUUUGAAACUGUCGUUCUUGAGUGAUGGAGAGGUAAGUGGAAUUCCUAGUGUAGCGGUGAAAUGCGUAGAUAUUAGGAGGAACACCAGUGGCGAAGGCGACUUACUGGACAUUAACUGACGCUGAGGCGCGAAAGCGUGG